rnacentral:lncRNA from 1 species
GUAAAUAUCAUAGCACGCUCUGCUCCUUUUCUUUGAAUCAUUAAUUUUUGUUUGUAAACAUAGCCUUUGGUUAUAGUCUGCAGUACUGUGCCCACCCAUUGAGACCAACACAACACAUAAUUUUUGUCAAAUGUUACCAUAAAUGAUUGACGAUACAAAGAGAGAUGGUGUGUAGGAGGAAAAUGAAAGGACUUUGCACUUGUGCAUUGGCAAAAAGCUUCCAAGACAUAAGCCACAAAACCAUGAGAUAUAUGGAAAGGUAUGACUACUCUUGAGUGUAGUACACCUAAUUUUGCAAAAAACUGAAAAAACGUGAUAAAAAAUUCAAAAUUUGGAGACAACAAAAUUUAUCAAAUGUUUGAGCAUCGUGCAAAAUUUCAGCGUAAAAUAACAUCCGAGGAGCUCUAACCAUAAAAACCAAAAUCACUGCUCAAACUAUGCACAAAACUUUGAACAUUGAUUUUUUUGUGAGAGCUCCUCUGAUGUUACUUUUGGCUGAAAUAUUGCAAGAAGCUCGAAUAUUUCAUAAAGUUUGAUGUAUCAAAUUUCAUUUUUUUUAACUUUGUUUGAUCAUGUGUUUUCCAAUCGUGUUUAGUGCACCCGAGAGUAGAAAAAUCCACUCUAAUCACCUAUUCAUAACAUCUUAGAAUUAAGAGAAAUGCAUUAGAUAGGACCACAUGCGUGUAGUGAUUCAGCAAGCAAUUUAAAAGUGAAAGUAAGAUAAAUAGCUUACCGGUCCACUGAAGAGUACUGAAACUAAAUUUGAGUCGCCUUGUAGCCAUAGCAUGAUGUCCAGUAAGUAGGAAACAUCCAUUCUUCAAAUGAAUAUAAACGAAAAAGGGUUACCCCGUCUUUAUAUUAUAAAUCAACCACCACAACAUCGAUCCAAGUACAGAAGAAGAAUAAACUAACACCAAAAAUGGCAAAGAUACAAGAUACCAAAAAAGCCACUAACAAACUUCGAAUGCCCAAGCGUUGGCUGGAGCAUCAAAGCCCUCGGCGAACAAGAUCUUGCAGACGACACAACAAGGACAAGGGAGCAGCCCGCCGUCGGAGGAAGAAGGUGCUCCAUCACCUCCAUUAGGCCAACGAUAAAUUGGACCACCAUCUCUGCCCCUGAAGAAUGCAUACAUGCCGUCUCAUCCUGGACCGAAGGAUGCCACACCAUCGGCAAGCAAAGCCACUCACCCCAAGUGGAAGAACAAGAUCAAUAGGUUGCCAAGGAGAGAAUAAGAGCACAACUACCUCACCGAGCAAGGGACACCCCAUACUUUGACACAAUUGUCGGCAAGGAACACAUCAACCGCAAACAGCCAAGCGGGAGCCCACUAAGAUAUCCGGUAGUCCACCGCCAUCGCCACAUGCCCGACCACCACACCGAUGUUCCAAGGUGGCGCCUUCAAGAAGAUCAACAACGCCGAAGCACCAUCGCCGCCCAAUCCGGGGAUUUGGGGUUUUCACCCAAAACAUGGAGGAAGAGGCCAGUGUCGGAUCUCGAUGCCACCUUCAGGAAGGAGAGCGACGCCCGGGGCGCCGACAGCAUCGUGGCUGUAGAGACGGGCAAGGGAUUCCCCUAAUCCAGAGCCACCGUCCCCCCCCC